GGGCUACUAACUCAACGGUAGAGUACUCGACUUUUAAUCGAUAAGUUCUGGGUUCGAAUCCCAGGUAGCCCA
rnacentral:tRNA from 1 species